AUUGAACGCUAGCGGGAUGCUUUACACAUGCAAGUCGGACGAGUGGCGGACGGGUGAGUAAUAUAUCGGAACGUGCCCAGUAGCGGGGGAUAACUACUCGAAAGAGUGGCUACUACCGCAUACUAUUGGAGCGGCCGAUAUCUGAUUAGCUAGUUGGUGGGGUAAAGGCUCACCAAGGCAACGAUCCGUAGCUGGUUUGAGAGGACGACCAGCGAAACGGGGAAGGUGACACGGCGCAGACUCCUACGGGAGGCAGUAGUGGGGAAGUUUGGAGAAUGGGGGAAGCCCUGAUGCCGCGAUGCCGCGCGUAUGAGAAGGCCUUCGGGUUGUAAAGUACUUUUGGCAGAGAAGCGGUAUCUGUAUAAUAAGCACCUGCUAAUUACGUGCCAGCAGCCGCGGUAAUAC
rnacentral:rRNA from 1 species